rnacentral:rRNA from 1 species
UACGGAGGGGGCUAGCGUUGUUCGGAAUUACUGGGCGUAAAGCGCGCGUAGGCGGAUCUGCAAGUCGGGGGUGAAAGCCCGAGGCUCAACCUCGGAAUUGCCUUCGAUACUGCGGGUCUCGAGUCCGGGAGAGGUGAGUGGAAUUCCUAGUGUAGAGGUGAAAUUCGUAGAUAUUAGGAAGAACACCAGUGGCGAAGGCGGCUCACUGGCCCGGUACUGACGCUGAGGAGCGAAAGCGUGGGGAGCAAACAGG